AAUGUGUCUUCAAAAUAAAAUUCCAACUAAGAAGUGCAACGUCUGUCAUUACAAAGAGAAAGUGUUGGAACAAGAAGCCCUGACCCCACAACUGCUUCAACUCACUCAUUAAUGUUAAUUAUCUGAUUAUUCAAUUGUGCAAAUUGUAAGACCAUGAACAGAUAAUAAGAAAAGACGGGCACAGAGCCACAGACAGAUUUACUAUCAAUUGUCUGAAGUCGAUGGAGGUGAAUCAUUUCAACCAAACGUUUCCAAUCACUCGUUUUAAACCCGGACGCCACGAGAACCAAAAACAAAACACGUCUUUAACGUGAACUUUGUUCAAGUUGACGUGCGUCAACUUUGGACGGCGCCGCGGGGAAAUUGAACCAAGUCUCUAUUGAACUUUGCUGCAGACAGUUUCUCUUCCGUGGACGGUUGUCGGUCACAUCUCGUGGUGUGGCCUGAACCGAUAAGACUCUGACUGACAUAUGUUCGGGUCUCACGGCCGCCGCCUCCGGAUCAGACUCACCCCCGGGGAGGAGAGAUGUUCCUCGGCGUUCCUCGGCGUUCCUCGGCGGUCUUCUCCCCUCGGUGCCGUCAGGUCCGGUCGGUGAUGUGCGGAGCUUCUUCCGACGGACUUCGCUCGUUUGACGACUCUCACACUGAAAGCGCGUCGAGGGGGGAGGAGAGUCCGUCCGAGCUCCGAGUCUCGAACCGCCCUCACUUCAUGUGGAGGGUCCAGCGCCGGGCUACAUGACGCCUUCAGAAACCUGGAUGUGCUGCAUGGUGGAGAAGAAGUGACAGAAACCAAGAUGCUGCCACAUCUAAACACCCUUAUCCCGGUUUCUAAACACUAAGGAUUUUGCUGAUUCAGAUCCAAGGAUCCUCUCUGAGCUCCCAGCGGUCCUCCUGGCAGCCAGGGGCCUAACUGUGGUCGGACUCGUCCUCGUCCUCGGCCUCGCGGAGCCAAGUGAAGAAGGCGGUUACGGACUUGAGGGCCACGCCCUUGCCCUGCUGCUCAGCGGGGUCUUUGCUCGACUCCCACUUGUAGAAGGCCUCCUCUUUGAUCACGUCCUCGUCGUAAAGACUGUCAAAGAACAUCCGUAGAAGAUCUGAUGGAGCGAAGCGACAGGAAAUGUUUGAUUUAAAAUUUGUUCCAAACCAAAAGCUUAUCAAGAGACAUUUAUCAGAAUCAUUUUGUCAUAAUUUUUUUAUAUAAAGAAAAAGAUCUGGAAAGAUGUCUUCAAUGCGUCACUCACUGGCAGGUUGCUCCAUCUGCACCAUCAGGGCCUGCAGGGCGUAGAGAGCCUGCAGCUCCUUCUGCUCAUCCUUCAGGUAUUUCUGCAGCACCUUUGCUCUCUUCUUGAACUGCUCACUGUCCACCUUGUGGGGAUUCUCACCUGCAGGGGGAAAUAAUAAUAAUAAUAAUGUGAGGAAAGUGUAACUACUCUGUUGGUACAGUCUGUGAGUGAGGACAGACUUGAAAAAACUGGACUUUGUGUACUACCUCACUGUCGUGAGUUUCACUCAUGACCCAUCACUUAGUCACAUUUGCUUUUAAAAAGGAACUUGAAGAGGGAAAGUGGACUCACUGAUGAUUGCUGACUGGCAGACGGCUGUCAUCAGAGCUCUGAUGAACAUGUUGGAGGAGGUCUGCUGCUCAUCUAGGUUGGCCUGCACAGAGACAAUGUCUAUAAGCAUGCAGGCAGAAAACCAGAGGCAAGCUGAACAGAAAUGAAAACCAUCAGAGGGGCGAUGUUUACCCUGCGUGUGGUUUGUUGUACAAAGGCUGCUACACGUACACUAUUUGUCCCGAAACAGCUUCAUGAUGAUACAAAAAAUUUUUUUUUCUCACAACAUCAAAGGUCUCUAACUUAGUGUUUUGCAACGUCGCUUCAUUGUAGAGCUUUGUGCAGCGCUCUUUUCCCCACAGUUGCCCUCACUUCCUCCUCUCUCUCUCUCUCUCUCUCACAAACACACUGAACCCGUCUGUCAGAGUCAAGCUGUUUUCAGACACAAUCUGGAAAAUGUCUGGUGGCCCGCAUCUAGCGUUCAGGCAAACCUCGGUUUAACAAUGGCCCUGGUCUGUAAAAGUGCCUCCGACCCCCCCCCCCAUGACAAAUCAGCUCCAAAAGUGAACCUGUAGAAAUCCUCCUAAGUAACAUCCCCACUAUGUUUGUUGGUGCAGGGUAAAAAAAAAAAAAAGGGAAAUUCAACAAUUACAACAACACAAUAUUGGGAGUCACAUCUUGAGAACAGGCUGGUGAAGUGGAUAAAGACAACAAACCUCAGUCCAAUCAAAGAUCCUCUGGUUGUCGGCCUUCUCCUUGAUCAGUCUGUCCAGCUGUGUGCUCAGCUCUUGAGAGCUCAGCUCCUUUUUGCUUGUCUCCGAGUCGUCACCCAGCGUGAACUCCACAUUCUGCAGAGAGAGGCACAGUGCUCAUCUUUCAACAUAUCUACUCUACCUCUCGUUACCUAGCUAACAGGCGUAUCACGCCUUUUAGCUGAUAAUGAGGCUUGUGUCGUGAGUGACCUCUCACCUGUUCUGUCACAAACUUGUUGACGUCUUCAUCCUCGGGUAGGAAGUCUUUCCACAGGAGGCCUGCCUCCCUCCACAUUGUCCCGGCCUUUUUAUGGCUCUGAUGAGAAGAUAUACAGAGUUGUCGACUGAUGGACAUCCACUGAUCACAUAACGAGUGAAGUGAGGAUCUGGACCAGCAGGACUCCAGCUUUUCCCAGAGGGAUCAAAGGCUUUGAAAUCUCCCUGGAGACCAAACCAAAUUAACACAUCAACCCAAAACUGAACACUUCUCCAGCAAGACUGAGGAAUGAAGAGGUUCAGGGCCACUGACCUGAAAAGUUCUCCCAUGGGGAUACCGUCCUCGUGGAGCAUGGGAGUGAUGAGCUCUGCCAGUACUGCUGUGUUGGGAGGAGGCCGGUCUUUAUGAGCUGGUGCAGCAGCAGGCCCGUGUGUUCCCUGGCAAUGGCGCUGCGCUCCAGCGUCGACUCCAGCCCGUUUCGUACAAAAACGAAGAGAAGCUGAGUGCUGUUCAUCUCCCGCACGCACUGCAGUGCCUCCUGUUGGGACAGUGAGGGACAUCACACAGAAAGUGAUAAGCAAUACUUUUAUUGUGAAGCAGCUACAGGAAAAGGACCAUGGUACUCCUCGAUGAUGGCUGUGGACUUCUUUUCCAGCUCUUCCUCCGUCAAGGCAGGUUUGGUGGGGGUCUCGGGAGGGGCAGGGGGAGGGGUGGCAGCUGUCUCCCGCUUCACUGUUCAAACACACACACACAAGAAAAAGAAUGAAAAAUCUAAUUCUGGAUUGUGGAUUGAUGCAGAACUUUGCAAAACAAAAGUUUGAUUCUCAGUUUUCCUGAUGUGGAGCAUACUUUAGAGGCAAUUCUUCCUUUUAGGACAUUUACUUUUAAAUGUACUCUAAAGCAACAUCAUGUCACCUACCAAGCUCUUUGCUCCUGGCUCUCUCUCUGCUGCCUCGGUCUCUGUCAUCUGUCAUACUCGCUACUCGGCGGACGGGAUCUGCCGACCCGCGAUGCUCUCUCUCGCGGCUACGCUCUUCGUUCUCCCGACUGAAGCUGCGCUUGGUGACCUGCAGCCGGUUGCGAUCGCGGUCGUCUCGUCUGUCAUCCCGUCGGUCGUCCCGUCUGUCAAAGCGGUCGCCGCCACGGUCGUUGCGGUCGAAUCGCUCUCGACUCGAGCUGUUUCUGCAAAAGGACAGAGGCAGAGCAGAGCGAAACUGAGUGUCAAACAAAACGCUGCUUAUUAUACAUACAUACAAUACAGGAAAUGUUAUUAAUUAUAUCCUUGUUUUGUCAAGUGUAAAGGUCUGUUGUGUUUCCUGUUCCUCACCUCUGAGGAACUCGUCUGUCUGAAUCCUGUGAAGAGCCUGAGGACAACGGCUGCUGCAGGGCUGAGAACCUGUUCAGAGUGCUGGUAGCUGGACGGCCUCCUGGCUCCGGGCCUGGGGAUGAAAUUACACACAACACACGGUCGGUUCUUUGAGAUGGGUACGGUGUUCCAGCCCUCAUCCUGGGGAGGGUUAGGACCACGGCCCUGGUUGUGAGGGCCCCCACGUCCCCCGGGGCCUCCCCCGCCCAUCCUGCCUCCUGGACCUCCACCCAUGUCCUUUUUGGAUAUGAGCUGCUGCACCUUCAUCUGCUCCCUGUGCUCCUCCUGCUCGGCCUCUUUGUGGAUCUGGUCUAUGGUCUUGGGGCCCUGGUCGCCUCGCCGGGGCACCCAGUUGUUCUGGGAUGGGAUGGGAAGAGAGCAGGGCAGAAUUUAAUGAGGACCAAAUAAUUAAACGGCAAUUUUCUGUCUUCACAGAUAACUUUUGAUGUUGAAAUAUACAUGCUUUCUUCAAGAACAGCCACAGCAAAUAAGAUAUAUCAAAUGAAAUUUUCAUAUAUCUUGGGCAAAGGCAUCUUAGAUUAUGUGUCUUUUAAACACUUAUGAGUUCAUGAGAGAGACUAGAAUUGAAAAGGAAACACUCAACACUUCUCUUCAGCGUUUGCCUCCUAAGGAAAUAACAGAGGAUACAGAAUGUGCUUCACAGUUAAAGUGGGCCAAUGUGCUGACUCUGAGCAGCUGAUUUUGACUUGUAAAAACACUGGAGACAGCAGGAUUUGUAACACUGUGGGUGGGACGGGGAGCGUAACUACAGGACUACAGCAUUCCUUCAGAGAAAUAAGCACUGAUACAGCUGCACUCAACUGGCUUUAUAAAAACCACUGGAAUGAGAGGGAGGAAGUAGAACAUGGGGACACAAACAAAUGAUACUACUACAUACUCUUAUAUUGGCCAUGUUAUUAGAAGUGACAGUGUUGUUUUAGACGAGAGGUCUGUCGUCUCAGCCUAUGGCAGGGAGCAGCUCUGUGUUUGGGAGCCGCCCUGCAUCAAAGAGCUGAGGAAGACGUUACUUUCUUAGCCUAUAUACGAGACUCACACAAGCUAGGGCUAAAGGACCGGUGUGGACGCCUGUGGGGCUGUAAGCAGUAACAUGCAUAGUCUCAGACCACACCCAACAGUAAGGCGCCUGACACCAGAAAUGUUCUGUUCACACUGAAAUGCCGAAAAAGAGAGCAUGAAUAAAAUAAUUGAGGGAAAA